rnacentral:rRNA from 1 species
UACGUAGGUGGCAAGCGUUGUCCGGAUUUACUGGGUGUAAAGGGCGUGUAGGCGGGAAAUUAAGUCAGAAGUGAAAGUACAUGGCUCAACUGUGGGAGUGCAUCUGAAACUGAUUUUCUUGAGUACAGGAGAGGAAAGCGGAAUUCCAAGUGUAGCGGUGAAAUGCGUAGAGAUUUGGAGGAACACCAGUGGCGAAGGCGGCUUUCUGGACAGUAACUGACGCUGAGGCGAGAAAGCGUGGGGAGCAAACAGG